rnacentral:rRNA from 1 species
GAGCGCCUCGGGAGGCAGCAGUGGGGAAUAUUGCACAAUGGGGGAAACCCUGAUGCAGCGACGCCGCGUGAGUGAAGAAGUAAUUCGUUAUGUAAAGCUCUCUCAGCAGGGAAGAAAAUGACGGUACCUGAGUAAGAAGCCCCGGCUAACUACGUGCCAGCAGCCGCGGUAAUAUGUAGGGGGCAAGCGUUAUCCGGAUUUACUGGGUGUAAAGGGAGCGUAGACGGCAGUGCAAGUCUGGAGUGAAAGGCGGGGGCUCAACCCCCGGACUGCUCUGGAAACUGUACGGCUGGAGUGCAGGAGAG